UCGAGGAUCUUCGGCAAUGGACGAAAGUCUGACCGAGCAACGCCGCGUGUGCGAUGAAGGCCUUCGGGUUGUAAAGCAAUGUCGAGGGGAAACAAGCCGUAAGGUUGAGUGACCCCUGGAGGAAGCACGGGCUAAGUUCGUGCCAGCAGCCGCGGUAAUACAUAGGGUGCAAGCGUUGUCCGGAAUUAUUGGGCGUAAAGAGCUCGUAGGGGGUUAGAUACGUCGGAUGUGAAAAUCAGGGGCUCAACC
rnacentral:rRNA from 1 species